rnacentral:tRNA from 4 species
GCGGGGAUGGCGAAACUGGUAGACGCGCCAGAUUUAGGAUCUGGUAUCGAAAGAUGUGAGGGUUCAAGUCCCUUUCCUCGCACCA